UACGUAGGGUGCAAGCGUUGUCCGGAAUUAUUGGGCGUAAAGAGCUCGUAGGCGGCCUGUCGCGUCGGCUGUGAAAAACCCGGGGCUCAACCCCCGGGCCUGCAGUCGAUACGGGCAGGCUAGAGUCCGGUAGGGGAGACUGGAAUUCCUGGUGUAGCGGUGAAAUGCGCAGAUAUCAGGAGGAACACCGAUGGCGAAGGCAGCUCGCUGGGACGGUACUGACGCUGAGGCGCGAAAGCGUGGGGAGCGAACAGG
rnacentral:rRNA from 1 species